UACAUUAUUAAGUAACGGUUGUUAGCACUUAAUCAUCUGAUUUAAUUGUAAAAAUAUGUUUUGUAUAAAUUCCUUGUCGAUAUAAAAUACUUGUAUAACCUAAUGCUAUUUUGCACAGACGUCAUGCUGCUAAAAAGGAUUUUGUUGUUUCUUCUUAUAUCCUGCGUUAGCCUAUCGGCUGGUAUGCCGAGUCGUCAUGUUCACAUACAUCGUCCAGUGGUUGUCGUAAGAAAUCCACCACGGGUUUUCGUAUAUCCACGUAGAGGAUAAAAAUUAAAGCACUUUCUACCAAUUAAAUAUAA